rnacentral:tRNA from 1 species
CCAGGUAGCUCAGUUGGUAGAGCAGCGGACUGAAAAUCCGCGUGUCGGCGGUUCGAUUCCGUCCCUGGCCA